CCUUUAGCACAGCAGGCAGCGCAUCAGUCUUAUAAGCUGAAGGUCCCAAGUUCAAUCCUCAGAAGG
rnacentral:tRNA from 1 species